AGCAAUACCUCGCUGAUACGAGGGUAGAUCCGAAGCCUCUAGAAAAUUAACAUAGGCUCUCCACCUCCUACUCCUACUCAAUACGUUCCCGUCGUACAGAAUGGUAACAUGUCUAUCAAUUAUCCAAGCUUGGGUAUACGGGGAAACCCAAUCCCUUGCGAGGAUGGAUUGCAUGGUAAUAUUGAGAGAG
rnacentral:ribozyme from 1 species